rnacentral:rRNA from 1 species
UACGUAGGCAGCAAGCGUUGUUCGGAGUUACUGGGCGUAAAGGGUGCGUAGGCGGCUUUUUAAGUUUGGUGUGAAAUCUCCCGGCUCAACUGGGAGGGUGCGCCGAAUACUGAGAAGCUAGAGUGUGGGAGAGGAAAGUGGAAUUCCUGGUGUAGCGGUGAAAUGCGUAGAUAUCAGGAGGAACACCGGUGGUGUAAACGGCUUUCUGGACCAUAACUGACGCUGAGGCACGAAAGCGUGGGUAGCGAACAGG